GCCCCCAUCGUCCAACGGCUAGGACACCACUCUUUCAAGGUGGAGAUAGGGGUUCGAUUCCCCUUGGGGGUA
rnacentral:tRNA from 10 species